ACGGGUGAGUAAUACAUCGGAACGUGCCCAAUCGUGGGGGAUAACGCAGCGAAAGCUGUGCUAAUACCGCAUACGAUCUACGGAUGAAAGCAGGGGAUCGCAAGACCUUGCGCGAAUGGAGCGGCCGAUGGCAGAUUAGGUAGUUGGUGAGGUAAAGGCUCACCAAGCCUUCGAUCUGUAGCUGGUCUGAGAGGACGACCAGCCACACUGGGACUGAGACACGGCCCAGACUCCUACGGGAGGCAGCAGUGGGGAAUUUUGGACAAUGGGCGAAAGCCUGAUCCAGCCAUGCCGCGUGCAGGAUGAAGGCCUUCGGGUUGUAAACUGCUUUUGCACGGAACGAAACGGCCUUUUCUAAUAAAGAGGGCUAAUGACGGUACCGUAAGAAUAAGCACCGGCUAACUACGUGCCAGCAGCCGCGGUAAUACGUAGGGUGCAAGCGUUAAUCGGAAUUACUGGGCGUAAAGCGUGCGCAGGCGGUUAUGUAAGACAGUUGUGAAAUCCCCGGGCUCAACCUGGGAACUGCAUCUGUGACUGCAUAGGUAGAGUACGGUAGAGGGGGAUGGAAUUCCGCGU
rnacentral:rRNA from 1 species